AGCAGUGUGGCUUAGUGGAAAGAGUACAGGCUUGGGAGCCAGAGGAUGUAGGUUCUAAUCCUGACUCUGCUA
rfam:Ornithorhynchus anatinus chromosome 3, whole genome shotgun sequence.